rnacentral:lncRNA from 15 species
GUCUGGUAGGCCCCCUAUUGGGGCCUUCAUUCUUUGUGAUGGUCCCUACACACCAUCAACACCUCAUCUGUUCUCUCCCAUACAUUCUGUCAAUUAGCAGCUGUGGAUAGAAAGAAACAAAGACAGUGUUUGAAUGCAUAUGUCCAUUCACACCUCCAUCUCUUUUCCUUUCUGUCUUUACCUCUUCCUGUGUCGAAGGUUAUUUUACCUUAUUUUGGCAGAGUAGGACAUCAACCCCCUCACUCACUCUUCUCCUAUCUUCCACCACUCUCCCUCCCCUUUUCUCUCCUCCUCUAACUCAGCAAAGGAUGGAGAGCUGAGGAGAGAAAUCAUGGAGGCAGGCACGGAUCAUUAGCUAUAUUUGUCCCCACUUCCUGCAGAAGAUGAUAGAUCUAGCUAAUUACCCCAUGUUGCCAAGCCUAUCGCGCACGACAAGCGGCCGUCGUUAUGGCGGAAAUCAGCGUUCGCUUGGCGUGUGCCGCAUAGCUGAUGCUAUAUGACUAUUCAUGAGCCCAGAGUCAAAAGAGAAGAGGAAAUUUCAGAUCCUGUCAUGGCUGUAUGUGAAUGUGAGUGUUCUGGAAAUGAUUUUAACGAUACAUGUUCUCUAUCUUCUUCUUCUUCCCUCUGUGUAGAAAAUGAGUUUGGAGGAGACGUGGUGAGCCGUUCCUCUCCAGCUGAACGCCAGUAGGUCACGGUGGAAGCAGAGGUCUGGACCAAAGAGCUGUCUCAACCCCAAACCAUUUCAGAUGGAGGUGGAUGCAGACGAUAAGCGCCAUCGCACACGCUCCAAAGAAACAGAAUCACAAAGUCCACAUUUUAAGAGGUUUGUUCAAAAUGAAAUAUCUACCACAGUGACAUCUAAUCCUAUAAAACUAUACAUAGUGCAAAGUGAAAACCAAUUGUGGAACUUUCAUGUAACUCCAACAGAUGACACUCUUUUACAUAUUAUAUUAGUUUUAAAAAGAAACUAAGUGUCAUCAUCUAGCCUGUUACUGUACACUAAAAAACUCCCAACCAGAUGUGUUUAUCAAGAGCGGGAACACACUGGUUUAUAUUCAACAUUACAGCAAUUUAAAUAUACUGUGUUUUACCUGUGUAGUAGACCUGUGAGUGAUCAACUGUGCAUGGAGUGUGGAGGAUACAGAACAGCCAAAAACUUGAGCACACGCUCAUGAGCCGUGCACACAGCUGUUGUGUUCACUGUUGCUGGUCGACAUGUAAACCAACUUGAAGGGGUUUAGGAACCAU